UCCAAUAAUAAUAAUAAAAAUAUUAAACGGGUAAAAAAAAUAGAUAAGAGAUUUUUCGAGUUUUUUCCCAAAUAUAAACGCAUAAGACAUUUAUCCAAAUUUAUUCUUUUAAUUAAUUGUGGCAAGUUGGCCCCACACUCUUUUAUGUAGGUUUGUUGUAACACCCAACUCCCACGUUUAAUAUGCUAUUUGGUUUGUAAAUAUGAGGCAGCCCAUUUAAUUUAUAAAAGAGAUGAGGGUUUUAUCGCCAUGAGAGUGCUCAUGUAUGUAUAUAUAUACUUACAUGUACCGCCGUCUUUGUCGAGCCGUAAAUGAAAGCUGAGCAAACAAACCCUAGAAGACAUCAUUAUUGUGUUGUGGUGAUUAGUUGUGUCAUUAUGUGUGAGGGUUUGUAAGAAUCAUGAGAAGAAAACACAAAUUAAAUAAAGAAGAAGAAAACGGAGACGGAGCUGAAGACGUCGUGGAGGAAGUAUCAAUAUAUCAUCACCAUCGCAAAGGUGAAGCAAGGGAGAUAGAGAUCUGGUUAAUGACAAUAAAGAGAAGUGAAGAUGAAGGAGAUCAGAGUAGGAGCACACCAAAAAAAGAGAGAAAGAGACGAGAAGAGAGAAGAAAGAGAGAGAGAUCACAGUCAAGUGUAGGAGAGGAAGAAUUGGAUCGUGAUAAUAAGUAGAAGCAGUAAUGAGUCUAUUUCGUUGCCAAUCAGGAAUGUGGGUGAUGAGAUCAAUAAAGGGAAGAAAAGAAAGAAGAAUAAGAGAAAAGAGGAAAGAGGAAGAACAGGUUUAAGAAGGUGUUUUGCAGGGAGAACUCCCGACAUACCAGAUAUAAACAUAUCUAUAUUACGGUGUCUUGUUAUAUUCGAGAAGUUAUGCACGUUUCUUCCUGGACAAGGACUUGUAUAGUCUGGUAAAUCUGGAACCCUAGAAAACAGUUUUGUGUUGGUUUCUUUGAGGUAACGUUUGGAGGUCCAAAACUAAUAUGUUCGGAAUGAAACUUUGUGCAGGCGUUUCUGGUAUUAUUGGCUAGACGAUCAACGGUGGGAUUGCAUUAUUAACGGUUAGUUCUUGACUUAUCUUUAUGUUUCAAAGACAGUUUUGUAUGGAGUAAGUAGUGACGAAUUUGUAAUGUUUGAUUGAAAAAUUGAGCUUGGCAUAAGCUAAAGCUUUGCAGGAGCUUUCAUGAUUCAUGGAUUCAGGUCCUGGUUGAGGGAGAAUCAAGUUAGAGCUUAUGAGCAUGUAGUUGUAGUAAAGAUUGCCUAAGUGGAAAGAAAGCAGAAUUGAGUCUUCAUCAUCAACAUGCCAAGGUGAGGGUGGUAUUUGCGAAGCAUGGUAUCAUUUUCUUUUGUUAUGGUUCUUGACACAUGAUAUGUAGGCUUAGGUCUGAUUGCAUAGGAUAAGAUUAUGUGAUGAUAUGAUUUGAUGAUUAUUGAGUGCUUGAUAUAAUGAUAUGUAUGGUGAUAAUGUUUGACUAUGAAAUAUUAUGUAUGAGAAUGUUAAGUAUAAGUAUCUAAGUAUGAUGAUUAUGUAUGUCUGUAUGAAUGAAUGGGGAGAAUCAAGCUAUGGGCCGUGCUCUCCCUAGUAAUUUGAACAGUGAUGGACCGACGGGUUAAGAGCUGGUCAAGAACGCUUGACAAGCCCGGAAUGGGAGUAUCUGAGCCACGAGGGCCAGCCUCCACUGAUGAGGUUUAGUCAACACGAGGAUGGCUAGACUAACGAUACAUAUGUAUGUGCUAUUAUGGAUAAAAUGCUUGUUAUGUAUGUGUUGUUAGGGCAUCUCUAACCCUACUCUAUUUAGAGUAAAAACUCCAAAUUCUUCUCCAACCUUGCUCUUUAUUGGACUCUAAAAUAGAAAUUUAUGCAGAAUUGCUCUAUUUAUAUAGAGUAAGUCUAUUCUCUACUCUAUUUUAGAGUUGAA
rnacentral:sRNA from 1 species